rnacentral:lncRNA from 1 species
GAAGGGGGUAGCAAUACAGAUUUCAACCAGGACUGCAAAUAAAGAAUGCCCCAGAUGCAAAUGUCUGUCUCCAGAUGUUGAUGAUAAGGAUUUGGAGCAGUUACCUUGGCAGGGUCAGAACUGCAGCAGGUUAAUCAGGUGAGUCGUCGGGGAUUUUAAAGAAGCCGAAGCCGGUUUCUUUGGCUAUGAAAGUCUACAAAACCCCCAUGCAGGAACAUUGCACAUCUUACACACGCCUCCUUUAACUGGGCUCCCACGACCUCAGCAGGAGAGGGGGUGCUGGCCGGCCCGCCGGUGGCAAGGGCACGGCCCCCCGCUCUGCCCCUGAGGGCACGGGGCCGGCCUGGCACCCGGGGUCCGCGUCCCGAGCGGCUGUGCACUCACCGAGCCAGGCUGCGAGGGGCAGAGGGGCGCCCGCGGCUAGCCGGAGCGCUGAGGCGCCUCCCUUUUCUCUUGGUAGCGUCGGUCCGCACUCCCUGUGACCCAGGACGUCAUGAUGCCUGUCUGUUUUCUCAAUGAUAACUUGGCAGAAGAAGAGAGAGGCUGCCAGGUUCUCCUCGGGUGGUUACGUGACCAAAUGCCGUCCCUGCUGUUUGUCACCAAUCCACAUACCAGUGCAGGCAGCCAAGUGGUUUCCUUCCCCAGGGUGAGAUGUCUGAGCAACUAG